rnacentral:misc_RNA from 1 species
AAAGUCGUAACAAGGUUUCCGUAGGUGAACCUGCGGAAGGAUCAUUAAAAAAUAAUCCUUAUGGGUUAUAAAUCCAUACCCACCUCUUGUGCACCGUAACUUGUCCAUUGCUCCUUUUUCCCAGAUGUUGUCCGUCAUAAAAAUUCUCUCGCAGGGUUUUAAUGUCGGGGAAUCCUGGGACGGAGAGCGAUAUAUACACAUACAUUUUUUUUACCGAGUCUGAAGUAUAAACUUUUGCGAAAGCAGAAAUUAUAAAAAACAACUUUCAACAACGGAUCUCUUGGCUCCC